GACGAACCGUGCGAACGUUAUUCGGAAUCACUGGGCUUAAAGGGCGCGUAGGCGGGCCGAAAAGUCAGGGGUGAAAUCCUCCAGCCCAACUGGAGAAGCGCCUUUGGUACUGUCGGCCUCGAGGGGUGCAGGGGCAUGCGGAACUCAGGGUGGAGCGGUGAAAUGCGUAGAUAUCCUGAGGAACACCGGUGGCGAAAGCGGCGUGCUGGACACCUUCUGACGCUGAGGCGCGAAAGCCAGGGGAGCGAACGGGAUUAGAUACCCCGGUAGUCCUGGCCCUAAACGAUGGGCACUAGGUAGCGGCCUUGCAUGGGGUCGCUGCCGAAGCAAAAGUGUUAAGUGCCCCGCCUGGGGAGUAUGGUCGCAAGGCUGAA
rnacentral:rRNA from 1 species